UGGUAACUGGUACUAAACAAGAGAGCUUGCCAGUCCCCUUUAAAAGCCCAGAAGCAGUGAGCAGGGAUGAUGAUUGGAACUCCCAUUCUAUUUCCCCCCUGGCACUUUCAUUCAGCCUCUUCUCCAGCCAGAUAUGGGGCAAAACUAAAACCAUGCUUGCUACUGCAGACAGAAGUUGAGUCAAAUGUUGGAUGGGUGGGUUUUGGUGGUCCAGUGGGUAUAUAUUCUGUCAUAAAGCAAACUACAUAUCACAGGUUCCAUAUUUUUGUAACAUGUCCAUCCAAAAUCUUAGCCAGCCACCCAUACUGCUUAACAUCUUGGAGUCUAAUCUGUCCCCUGUUCUUCUUUUGGUAGUUUGGAGUAUAACCUGUUUAUACUUCUAUAUAUAUGGUGAAGCAACAUUAACCCUGUUUACAUACUACAGUUGUGUACACUGUACACCUAUUGAAUGGGAUGGGGGAGGGAGAGAGGAGAUUUCACUCUGCUCUCCCUUCCUUAUUCAGAUUGAGCACAUAUCUCAUGAAAGCAUCUUUACACCUAGAAACUGUACACACAAGCUGUGGAGAUGUGAUGGGGAGCCCUGUUUUUGCAGGGUUCUCAACCUGUGAAGAGCUCAUGCAGAUGCCUUUUAUAUCCAUAUAUGCUAUUUUACCAGAUGCUGAACUGACAAAAGGAGGGAAGUUUCUAUCCUUGCUCUAUGCAUGCUCUGUACAUGACUGCAAGAUGUGCAGAGGGCUAAUGUUGCUUUGCCCCGUCAAAAGAAUAGUGUGACUAGGCCCUUAACUGCUAGGAGAGGGGCAGGGGAUAGGAUAGACUCCCAAACAUUGUGUAUAAGAGAGGGGCAGAAGCCAGUGGGUGUGGGACUCCUCUAUGCCUGUUCAGUGGACAUGAUCUCAACAUACAUUGAGUUUCUCUGGAGUGGCAGCCAGCCCUGUGAAUGCAUCCUCAGACUUCUGUGUUUGCAGCUUCCCAGAAAACCCUUGGCUUGAGCCAAGAGGUAUUGAGCCAUGAUCUUCUUGGUACACACUGGAGGUGUGUUGGAUGAAUGACAAGACCAGGCAGCACACUAAAAAGAUCAACCUUGGCCUGGGGGGGGGGGAUAAUGGACUCAUGAGUCCCGUCUCAUGAACACACUCCUGUCCUCUUCUCAACCUUGUCUCAUGAGAUGUUCUGGACUCAAGGGGAAAAGACAUUGUUUGCUGCGACACUCCAGUGUGUUGUGAGUGUCUGCCAGGUUAGGUGCCAGGAUGUUACAGCACAGCAUUCGGGAAACACCACUCUUGUGUCUUUUUUAUUUUUUAAAAAAUCCACACUGUAGCAUCCAGGAGUCUUUGAGUCCUUUCACACCCACCCAAACGCUUCUCUAACAUCAUACAAAUGGCAUGCUGUUUGUGUGCUUUCAGCAUGGCUCUCUUGGGAUGUGCCUGGUUUGUUUUCCAGUAGGUAAAAUCAUCCAUGACUCAAUUCAGCUCUUCAGGAGCUGUGGGAUUGGAGAGGAGGUGGAGAAGAGGACUAUGCACACAAUACACAGUUCUAUGCACCAGUAAGCCACAGGCAUGAGUCUCUGGAAGGCCAGCAGUUUGGGGAGGGGGGGUGUUCACAAGAGCUUUCCAAGCUUGCAGAACACAAAGGAAAGAUCUGAAGUAUCAUAUGAUCAUUGUCAGUAGAGCACUGCAGGCUACCAGGCAGUACUGGCACCAAUGGGGAUUUGUUCACUAAGCCUUCUAGCUGCUUGAGGAGGGUUCGUUCUGAUAGUGCUGGAGAGCAAUGUGAUAAGCACACUGCAGUCCAAUGAGGAUCCCUUUUCCAGCUGUGCCUGUAAUUAAAUAAGCAUAAACUUGCUAUGUAGCUGCAUGCUACGUAUCAAUUGAGCAGCUAGAACACUGGAUGUUGUACAUAUAUGUUUGCUUAUUAAUAAAUUAUCUGUUCUAAUUUACUACAUAGAAUCUGGACCUACAUGUUGCCGACAACACAUGAUACCAGCAGUGGAAUACGUUGUGUGAAGGUACUGUAGAAUAUUUGAGGGCCCUGCAUUCUUUAUCUCUGUCACUUUUGAGGUCGGGAAGAGGGAGAGGUUUGAGUACAACGAGAAGGGAGUGACACUGAAAGGGAAAAGGGGAGUGUUUCAAACAACAGCAGAAGCUUGAGUAAAGUGAUGGGUGGAGGGACACUGAGAGCAUGCUUUUAAAGAAAAUAAAGCCAUUUUAAGAAGGAGAAAUAGCAGAAAUGGGUACAACAAAGAAGCUAAAAUUAUUUAUUUAUUUAUUUAUUUAUUUACUGUACCUCAAACAUUGUUUAAAACUGCCACUUUCCUCCCUCAGUGUCACCCAAUGCUUGCUCUACUCAACCCUCUGCUGGGUUUUGUUUUGUUUUUUUAAAACAACACCACCAACACCACCAACAGCAUCACCACCAACGAUGCCUUAUGAGGAACAGCUAAGAGAGCUGGGCAUGUUUAGCCUGGAGAAGAGGAGGUUAAGGGGUGAUAUGAUAGCCAUGUUCAAAUAUAUAAAAGGAUGUCACAUAGAGGAGGGAGAAAGGUUGUUUUCUGCUGCUCCAGAGAAGCGGACACGGAGCAAUGGAUCCAAACUACAAGAAAGAAGAUUCCACCUAAACAUUAGGAAGAACUUCCUGACAGUAAGAGCUGUUCGACAGUGGAAUUUGCUGCCAAGGAGUGUGGUGGAGUCUCCUUCUUUGGAGGUCUUUAAGCAGAGGCUUGACAACCAUAUGUCAGGACUGCUCUGAUGGUGUUUCCUGCUUGGCAGGGGGUUGGACUCGAUGGCCCUUGUGGUCUCUUCCAACUCUAUGAUUCUAUGAUUCUAUGAUUCUAUGAUUCUACUUCCCUCCUCUCAGUGUCCCAUCAUCUUUGUUUUAUUCCAACCUCUCCCGUUGUUUAAAAUGACUUCCCCUUUCUCUGCAUUCUUCCCUCCCUACUUUACUCAAACUUCUGCCAGUGUUUAAAACCACCACUUUCCCCUCUCAGGGUUUGUCGCUACUCAUCAAUAGCAAGGAUCCAUUCUGAGUAUCUUUGCUUCCUUGGUAGGUAGGGAAAGAGCAGGAAGAGAAAAAGAGAAGCUAGGAUCUGAAUCAUAAAUCCUGCUUGCACAGACUGUGUCUGUGACCUAUAUUCCUGCCAGAGGCAGAAGAGGCUUUUACACUUCUUUAUGGUAUCAUCUGAAACUGUUCCCAGACAUGACAAAUCGCAAACUUGGUAAGAUAACGUUAACAUUUCAUUCACAUUUAAAACAUAUGGCUUGGUUGGAAUAGUUUGCGAAUGAAGUGUUAUUUGCGUCACACAAGAUUGUAAGCACAAUACUUUGUUUGUGUGUGAAAGCCACUGCCUUUAGGUUGAUACGGUGUAUCAUGUACUGUGAUUUGAGGGAUGGUGUUUCAUACUGCAUAUACUGGCUAAAGAGGGAUUCUGCUGCUACCUCAGUAUGGUGCAAUCAGAGUUUGUCUGCUAGAUGAGGUUUGCCCUAUCUAGGCUCAAAGCUCAGAAGAAGCAGAAUGUAGCAACAGCACUUCAGGUAGAGCAGAAUCGCAUCAAAGAGAGCAAGGCGGUGGGUAUCAGGACCUUGGAUAGCACACUGAAGAAGGUGGUGGCUGGAGAAUUCUCCCAAAAGCAGAGCUGUUGAUUCAGCAGAGUGAUGAGGCCUACUGAAGGCUGACUGGUCUGCAUUUGCUGUUAGCUUCACUCCUUAUGAAGAACAGCCUCUGUUUGUAAAAAGCAUUUCACUCCUACAACAUGGGUCUGGUGGGGACUGUUUUGGAAAUGCAACUUCUGAUUCCAAGGAGUCCGGAAAGGCCACAUACCCCAGCCCAGAGGGUCCUGGAAUGGGAGGUGAUGGUUUCCUGAGCAUUGCCUCAUCCGUAUUCCUGUCUUCUUUUGAAGUUGAAGAGUAGCCAUGAUACAGACAUCACAAGUAGAAAUUAUUGAUCACCCUUUCCACAAAUGAUGUGGGGAGUGAAUGGAAGGAUCAUGUUCAGGGUUUUUAAAACUCCUAGUCACUUGAGAGACACGUGUGUGUGUGUGUGUGAGAGAGAGAGAGAGAGAGAGAGAGAGAGAGAGAGAGACAAAUGACCAACAAGAUCAAUAAAUAAUUUCAAUAGUUGUUAUCUUGUGAACCACCCUAAGAUCUUUGGAUUAAGUGUACAUAAAUUUAAUAAAUAAUCAUCAUCAAGAUAAAAAUCUGUCCCAUGUUGGUCAGUGAACACCCAAGCCCACCUUCCGUCCCCUGAGCCCUUUAUCCUCAUGGGCUUAUGCCCGCUUGACUUUGUGUAGGAGGAUGCAACCCUAUCUACAAACGAUGCAGCGUUUUCUCAAGUGUCUCUUCACAGCCACAAGGUCCUUCAAAUGUUUGCUUUAAAAUGGGGAUAAGUCCUGAAGUUGGAAGACCCAAGGUGCCAGUUUCUGUUCUCCAAAUACCAAAUUCCACAUGCAAGUGCAUGGAAUGGAUACAACACUGGCACAUCAAUCUUAUGUUAUGGGAGCGAACCCUGUUGAAUUCAGUAGCGCUUCCUUCCUAAUGACAUACUUUUAGGACUGCACUACACAUGUAGGGUUUCCUGCUUCAAGGCAAGCUCAUAAUUGCUAUUUCACAAAUGAAGUUUGUGUGUACACGCAUGCCUAUUCUCUGGCAGCAACGAGGGAAAAGACAUUCCAACAUGGAUAGCAGUAAACUGAAGGCAGCGCUCAACAUGCGAAUACACUCCUCAGCUAUCAAUAUUUUACUAAAGGGAUGUCCCUUGGCAUUUGUCAAGAAAGCAACAUGUCUUGUUCACUAGCCUGAGAAGUGUUGAUAAAAGGAUAGUUGAGAGUAGGAAGCCUCAAGAAAUUAAAGUGGUACAUUGCUGUAACUCUGUCCUUACCUUACCUCAAGCAACACAGGGCAAGUUAAGGACAGGAAAGCAAUGGGAAUGACUGCAUUACCAUGCUUGUUGUGGUUUGAAGACAAACUCAUAAUGUCACUGUAACACAGUUUGAUGAAAUUUAAUUUCCUUGGUAUUAUUACCAUUAUAUUUUUAUGCAGCAGUAAAAAGGUUGAUCCUUUUUCUUUCUUUGCCUGAAGACACAUGGGCUUUCUGAAUCUCUGCAGAUUACAAUGAAAGGCAUCACUGUGUUCUCACUUGAAUACUUUGGAAAUAUGUUAUUAUUGAUCUGAUGGUCAGUGGCAAAGUGCUCUGUGGCCGGCAGAGCAGGACAGCGGUAGCAGAGUGUUUAACUUUACGAUGAGAGAAUUUCCUUAUUAAAAUAUAUUUUGGGGCAUGUGAAGUAGCUGUCUUGGGGCAAACACUUCUCUUGAAAGUAUCUAAACAAGGAAGAAUGAUUUGAAUGCAGUAUUUAAAUCAUUAAAAAAUGUUUUUAUAUAUUUUAAAGUGUUUUAAAGGUGUUUUUACUUUUUACUUUGUUGUACCACCGUGAACAGUGGUUUUUAUCUAUGUAUUUUUAUUUUGUUCCGUUUUAUUGUGGUUUGGGGUGGGGAUUGGUUUUGUUUAGGUAUAAUUGUUUUUGGUUUGGUUUGUUUUUCUAUUUUGUAAAUGGAGGCUUGUAUGAGGCUUGGGAUUGCUACCGUGGAGGGGUGAGGGAGGUAUGGUGGAGGGGGCAGAUGUUAUAGGCAAAGGGGGUCGAGAUACGGAUAUGCUCGUAUCCCUUCCAAUCUGCGCCCCAUCCCGAGGGACAAGGGUAGGGUGAGCAAGGAUUACUCACCUCCAUCACUGGUGUUGUGCAAUGCCAGGUCUAUAGGCAACAAAACCGCCACUCUGCGAAAUUUCUUUACCUUGCAGGGGGUCAACCUGGCUUGUGUGACGGAGACCUGGGUGCGCGAAGGGGCAACAGUUACCUUAUGAGAGAUGGCGCCCCCGGGUUUCUCCGUCCUCCACCAGUCACGGACUGUGGGCCGGGGGGGAGGGGUGGCAUUAUUAAUCCGGGAAGAUUGUUCUUUCAGGGCUCUACCAUCGCCAUCGAUCCCCGGCAUUGAAUGUGUUGGCCUAGUGUGGGGCUCUGAGGUGAGCUUGGCUGUCUGGCUGGUGUACCGGCCACCUAGCGCACCAGCAGCCACCCUGUCAGGCCUGCUGGAGGCGGUGGCUGGCUGGGCCUUGGAGUUCCCUAACCUAUUGGUAUUGGGGGACUUCAACAUCCAUGCUGAUGCCACUCCCUCCUCACAGGCUCUGGACCUGGUGUCUUCCAUGGUGACACUAGGGUUCUCCCAGUUUGUUUCAGGCCCCACACAUCAGGCAGGCCACACGCUGGAUUUGAUCUUUGGUGUAGGUAUAGAUGUGAUCAUGUCUCCUUCGAUGAAGGUGCCAUGGUCUGAUCACUACGCUCUGAAAGCCAGGAUUGACUUUCCACCCCCACUCUGCUUAGGUGGCGAGCCGAUUUGGGCUCGCCUGCAGAGGCUGAUGGACCCUGAAAGAUUCCGUCAAGCCUUGCGGGACUUUGCUCCCCCUGGCGACUCAUUGACUGAGCUUGUUGAGGGCUGGAAUAUCCAGCUCCUGGCAGCCAUAGAUGAGAUCGCACCUAAGCGCCCUUUGCGACUCCGCAGAAACCAGGCUCCCUGGUUUACUGAGGAGCUUCGGAAAAUGAAGCGGGACCUCAGACGGCUAGAGCGAGUAUGGCGGGGUGCCCGUGACGGAGCCUCAAGAACAUCUUAUAGGGUUUUUAUGAAAACCUAUGAGAUGGCAGUGAAGGCCGCUAAGAAGUCUUACUUCUCGGCCUCCAUUGCAUCCGCUAGCUCUCGCCCGGCGCAAUUAUUUAGUAUAAUUAGGUCUUUAACGUCCCUUGAAGGACAGCCAAAUUUAAAUAACAAUCUGACACACAGCUGUGAGGCAUUUGUGAGCUUUUUUGCAGAGAAGGUCCUGUUGCUCCGCCAUGACCUCCCUGCCAAUUUGGAUACAAUAAAGGAACUGGAGGCCCCUCGACUGUCCUCAGGUCCAGUAUUGGACCACUUUGACCGGAUAUCCCCAGCCGAUGUGAACAGACUCCUCCGAGCUGGAAAGCCCACCACCUGUCCUCUUGACCCGUGCCUGUCUUGGCUGAUUAGAGCGUGUCCAGACGAGGUGCGGGCCCCCCUGGGGGAUAUCAUCAAUUUGUCCCUUGGCACCGGGAUAUUUCCAGGGGAAUUGAAGGAGGCAGUGGUGCGCCCGCUCUUAAAGAAAACAUCAUUAGAUCCCUUAGAUCUAUCCAAUUACCGCCCGGUUUCGAAUCUUCCAUUCCUGGGUAAGGUGAUUGAGAGAGCGGUUGCUGAACAGCUUGGUAGGUUUCUGUAUGAAACAUCGGCUCUGGAUCCAUUCCAGUCUGGCUUCUGCGCUGGUCAUGGGACCGAGACGGCUCUGGUCGCCCUAACAGAUGAUCUCCGCAGGCAGCUGGAUCGAGGCGGGUCGGGGCUGCUGAUUCUUCUAGACCUGUCAGCAGCCUUCGACAUGGUCGAUCACGAACUCCUGGACCACCGCCUUGCCGACGUGGGGAUCCAGGGCACAGUCCUUCAAUGGCUGCGCUCGUUUCUCUCUGGACGGGGACAGAGGGUGGCGCUUGGGGGGAAUUGUCAUCGCGCCACUCCUUGGUGUGUGGAGUGCCUCAGGGUGCAAUACUCUCCCUGAUGCUUUUUAACAUCUUUAUGCGCCCCCUCGCCCAGCUUGUCCGGAGUUUUGGGCUGGGUUGCCAUCAGUAUGCCGAUGACACCCAACUCUAUCUGUUGAUGGAUGGCCAUCCUGACUCGGCCCCAGACACACUGACCAGAUGUUUGGAAGCUGUGGCUGGAUGGUUACGUGGAAGCCGGUUGAAGUUAAAUCCUUCGAAGACAGAGGUCCUCUGGCUGGGACGGGACGAUAUGGGAUUGGGGGGGGCAACUCCCAUCUCUUGCGGGGGUGCAAUUAGUGCCAGCACCGUCCGUUAAGAGUUUGGGUGUAAUCUUCGAUACCUCCCUCUCUAUGGAGGCGCAGAUUACAGCUAUAACAAAGGCAGCAUUUUUUCAUCUCCGCCAAGCUAAGCAGUUGGCCCCUUAUCUCUCUCGCCCUGACCUAGCCACUGUGAUCCACACGACGGUCACCUCCAGACUGGAUUAUUGUAGCUCGCUCUACAUGGGGCUGUCCUUGAGACUGACCCAGAAACUCCAGCGGGUGCAGAAUGCCGUGGCAAGACUCCUUAUGGGGUCUUCGCUGCGAGAUCACAUUCAUCCGGUACUAUACCAGCUGCACUGGCUCCCGGUGGAGUACAGGAUCAGGUUUAAGGUGCUGGUUUUAACCUUUAAAGCCCUAUACGGCCUAGGACCCUCGUACCUACGGGACCGCCUCUCCUGGUAUGCCCCACAGAGGAACCUACGGUCUGCAAAUAAAAACAUCCUGAAGGUCCCAGGCCUCAGAGAGGUUAGGCUGGCCUCAACUAGAGCCAGGGCUUUCUUGGCUGCAGCUCCAAUCUGGUGGAACGCUCUGUCACAAGAGACUAGGGCCCUGCGGGACCUGACAUCUUUCCGCAGGGCCUGCAAGACAGAGUUGUUCCACCAGGCCUUUGGUCAGGGCCCAGCCUGACUCCCUCCUCUGGCAACCUGCACAGAAUUUUGCUCAACGGUUGCCAUUAAUUUGAUUUUAAUUAAUUUUUAUAAUGAAAUGUUUUUAGACUGUUGGAUUAUUUGAUUGUUUGAUUAUUUGAUUGUUGUUAGCCACCCUGAGCCCGGCUUUGGCUGGGGAGGGCGGGAUAUAAAUAAUAAUAAUAAUAAUAAUAAUAAUAAUAAUAAUAAAAUCACCAGAGCCUCAGCAAUACAAAUGUAAGAGAUGGGAACUGGCUAGUCACAUAAAUGGCCACUGCUGCAUUGCUUCACAAAGACCAGACCAAGAUGUCAUUAAAGAAACUGCAUGCAUGUCUCUUCCUUUCUUCCCCCUAGAGAACUACAAAAUGUGACAUAACCAUGGUGUGCAUUUCCCUACAAAUGAAACUUACAAGAAUGUAGUGGGACAGUGAAAUGAUGUCCCUUCAUGUCCUUUGUAUGGGGAAUUGAGGAGAAGGUGAUGGCUACUGCUUCUGUCAGCAGUUGCACCAUUUCUGCAAUGCCAGGUUCCAGCUUAAGAAACUUAAGCACUUAGGCUAUUUUCAGUCCUUCAAGAUAGAGUGACUAUGCUUAUGUAGCCAAAACAGUCAGCAUCACUCCACCCAGUGUGCAAGGGGGAGGUAUCAGCCUUGAGGUUUGCAAAAGCGUGUGCACACACACAAAUAUUCAGAGGAAAACCCCAAGGGCUGGAAACCCCCCCCCCAAAUUCCCUAAUGAGGGCUGAGCAUGGGAUGCUGAGUGACUGUUGGGGCACAAGAAGAAACUGUAACAUUGUUGGUGGAAAUUUAAAUGUAAGAAUGCUGUCAUUAAAACAUGGUUUGGUUUGUAAAUAGGUAACUGAGUUGACAUCUAACUGGAGCCUGGAAGAUACAAUGUAGAGGGGUUCUGCUGCUGGCAUUCUGCCGAGAAGCAGAUAGUCUGGCAGCUAUUAGUCACUACCAAGGAUGCAUGAUAGCCUGAGCAAGAGGAGAUUGGUACAGUGGUGCCUUGCAAGACGAAAUUAAUCCGUUCCGCGAGUCUCUUCGUCUAGCGGUUUUUUCGUCUUGUGAAGCAACCCUAUUAGCGGCUUAGCGGAUUAGCGCUAUUAGUGGUUUAGCGGCUAUUAAAGGCUUAGCGGCUUAGUGGCUUAGUGGCUAAAAGGCUAUUAGCGGCUUAGAAAAAGGGGGGGGGAGCGAAAAAAAUCUCAAGACUCACAAGACAUUUUCAUCUUGCGAAGCAAGCCCAUAGGGAAAUUCAUCCUGCGAAGCGCAUCAAAAAACGGAAAACCCUUUCGUCUAGCGGGUUUUUUGUCUUGCGAGGCAUUCGUCUUGCGGGGCACCACUGUAGUUAUCAGAAAUGCAGGGCAGCAAGGCAAAGGAAGGCUAGGCAGUCAGCACCUUGGAGGGAGAUUGAGGUGGGGUUCAGGACCAUGGAUGGUGCUCUUUCUGCUGAGCCCAAGUGUCUUAGGUUGUCUCAGCAACUGACUGGGGUUUAUUCCAGGGCUGGGGAAUCAUUGACACCACCACCCCCAAAGUGCUGCCUCCUGGCCAGCUAAAGGGCUGACAACUUCUUCUGCAGUUGUUGGCUCUUUUCGGGUCAUGAGGUUUCCAGCUUGGCGGGGUGGGAAUCUCUCCUCAGGGCUCUGUUGAUCCCCUGAGAAGACUGUGGAUCAGCUGUCAGAGUCUGGCAACAGAUGUGUCCACUCAGGGCUCAAGGAGAUCAGCUCUGGUGUUCAUUGACCUACAUGGGACAGAUUUUAGUCAUGAUAAUAAGCAUUGUAAUUAUUUACUGAACUUGUGGGUCAGUUGUUAUGCACACAAAAAGAGUCUCCCAGGUGACUAGGAGGCGGGUCAUCUGGUUGGACAUUGCAAGAACAGAAUGCUGGACUAGGUGGGCCAUUGGUAUGAUCCAGCGGGGCUCUUCCGAUGUUUGUAUCAGUCUCCUCUUCAGGGCUGCAGUUGCUAGAGGACUCUGCCUCCAAUAAGUUCUGUUCUGGGCUCCUGAGAGUUGUUAAAGAGAUGACUAGGUGUCGUCUAGAGUUUUCUGUCAUGACAGUUGACAGUACCUUAGCCUUGGGGGCUGAAUGUGGCCCUCUAGCCCUCUCUCUCCAGCCCUUCAGGCUCUGUCCAGGCCAUGCACACCCUGACCACACUGAUCCUACUCUGUACCCUUCUCUAAUUGUGUUACCUGCAUCCUUGAUCUGUGAUAAUACCUCUUGAUUGCCUGGAUGAAAGGUGUGUCUGAAAAAACCCACCCCUGGCAAGUGAGAUGGCACUUGGAACACUGUGUAAGAAUCUGGUUGGCACACCUCAAAAAGGAUAUUGUGAAAAAGAGUGGCCAAACUGAUCAAGGCACUUGAGCUUCUCCCCUUUAAAAGUAGGUUAGAACAUUUGGGACUUCUAAGUUUGGAGGGGAAGGGUCAGAAAGGGAGGAUAUUGUGGAGGUAUCCAAAAUUUUAUGUGUGGAUGAUUUUGCCAAUGAAUUUGUUUGUUAGGCCUAUCCAAACAAACAAAUAACAAAAGCACACCAACCCCAGGACAGUGUUUUCCUAUUAAUUUCUGCAUAGGGUUGUUUUUAUAUCUGUAACCCAUCCCUGUGGUAGAACUUUUCAAGCAAAGGCAUACCUUAUGUAUAGCUGCUGGAGGGCUGCAGCUUUGUGUGUGCUUUUCCUAUGGUCCUCCUGGCAGAUCCUUUGCUAUCAUUACUCAUGUUGACACAUUCUGCAAAGUAACUGAGGCAACUUUUGGGAAACAAGGGUUUCUAAUUUCCUUUUCAAACUCUGAAGGGACAAAAAAGAGAAUCUGCACACACACACACAGAGAGAGAGAGAGAGAGAGAGAGAGAGAGAGAGCGCGCAAAUAAAACAGAUCAUUUAAACUGAAAUUUCAUUGUGGACUGCCUCUGCUUUCUCUGUCAUACAAGGGAGCGGGAGUACAAAAACCCUUAGGUCUGGUUAGUAAAGGAGCCAGCAUUUCUAUACCUUAAACCUCCAGAGGUCUAAAAAUUCCUGCGUUCAGAUCCCAUUUCAGAAGUGUAGUACAAUAAAACACUGUGUUUUGUUUAAAACAUGGCAAUUUGAACUUUCAGGCUUGCCUUUCAAGCAGGAUUUUGUAGUAGUGCUGAAAAGAGACAGCAAAAGGUUUUAAUAAUAAUAAUAAUAAAGUUGCAUUUCCCCAUUUGCCUCUGGCAUGCUUGGAAGCGGGUCUGCUUGCUUCAGAAACACCAUAACAUUAGUGCAGUCUCCUCCAAGCUGGUGCCCGCUGGGUGCUUUGGACUACAACUCCCAUCAGUCCCAGCCAGCUGGAGAUGAUGGGAGUUGUAGUCAAAAACAUUUGCAGAGCACCAGGGUGCAAUAGUUGCAUUGGUGAGUUAGAUGGGCCCUGGCUCUUUUUUCUUUUCUUUUUUUAAACAAACCUUCAAAAUGACUGAGACAGGAUGCUGGUGUUUACAAUAAAACAGGUUUAUGGACCUUGUCAUUUGACAUCUCACAUAGGGAUGACGGCAAUACUGAACUGCAAAAUAAGCUGCAAAGAGAAAGUCGUCAUGUACUGUUCGGAGGUCACUCUGAUGGAUAAUGACACUUUAAAACAUGUUUUGCACUUUGGACUAUAAUUUUUUCUAAAAAUGGGACAGCAUCAAAUACAUUUUUGGGCUAAUGAAAAACAGAAUUGUAAAUAUAUUAGCAAACAGGCCAUCUGAAUAGGCCCUGCUGGUGGUCUCUGUGGAGUCAUAUAACUGGGGCUGCUUGCACUUGGAUAACCUCCUGGUAGCAAGAGAAAAUGUUUAUGAAUCCAGAAUGGCUCACAAACGUUAGAACAAAUGAUUACUGUAUCCUGAAAAACUGAACUGCAAGUGACUUCUCCUGGCAGUUUGUCAUUGCUUCGUCUCCCACUUUAAAGCAUUUGGUCACCCCACCAAUAAGCAAAGAUAACGUGGCUGAAUGCUGACACCGAGUUGCAAGCAGACAUUUGCAAGAUGGCAGAGUGAACAGCUCACAAACAGAAGGCAGCUUAUGAAUGGAUCUUACUGCCAAGGAAGGAGGAAUGGCAAACAAAUGGGAAGAACCCAUAGCUGGCUUCCGAAUCCUCUGCCCAAGCCUUAAUGCCUCUGCUUGUACAAAACGUCUAUAGUAGGUUGAGAGAGAUGUUCCAGGUGCAGCCUAUUAAAGCUGAUCCAUGUUUGUUACUUUGAGAGCUCCUCACUCUGUUAGUUUUAAGCAUCGUAGUAUGUGAGUGUUUUGCAAUCCUCAACAUGUUUACCCCAAAUCACCCUGCAAGGGAGGGAAAACUUGUCACUCCCACCCGGACAACAUGGAGAACUGUAUGACUCAGAUCACGCAGGAUCUUAUUCCCAGAGUAGGAAACUAAAAGCACGGUCUUGACCCUGAAUGGUCUUCCACCUUGCUUCUCUGACAUGGCUUUUAGAUUUUUUCUUUAUCUCCAUGUUCAGGAGAUGGGAGAUUCUGAGCUUUCAUUACAUGUGUCAGGCAGCAUACUGUUUCAAAAGAGGCAAAAGCAGUAACCCUGAACUGGACAUUGCACUCCCUGCAGUUUAAUGCACCACCAGCCAGACAUUCUAAAUAAUCCCUGAUGCUCUCAUUCCAAACCCCAUGGCAAGCAGUUUCACAUCUAUAAAUAGUCAUACUACAAAUAACAGUUAGCAUCGGACUAUUAACAUAUGCAAAGGCCUGCAAAGUUAUCGGAGGAAGAAUACAACAGAGAGGCCAGGCAUCAAUGCACGAUUACUUCCAUUUAACAGACUUCUUGUUCUGUUCUUCCCAAGGCCUGAUUUAUGCAUGACACAGGGCAAUGCCAAAAUGCUUACCCAUGUAAAUGUUUCACACAUGCCUUGACACAUUUAAAUGCAUCUGCAAUAUGCACCAUUUGUUUGCAUGAAGUGCUAAUAGCAUGACAUCAGCAUGCCCAUCUGGGUCCCCAUCACCAGCAGGCUAAUACUGCAUGGCAAUGGGCUGCCAUUUGUGAUGGCGAACUCCCUUGUGAUAUAGGCAGAAGUUAAGGAGUCCAGUGUGGUUGCAUAUGAAUUGCAACAAGAUACCAUUUGGCAAACGGUUGUCUUUAUUCUCGCUGAAAGAAAUGUUAAAGUAAUGAGAGAAAAUAUUUAUGGACCCGUAGAGGGAGAAAGAGAGAAACAUGUAAAUGAAUCCAGAGUAUGACCCAUUCCACUUCCUAGAGGCAAAGCACAAUGGAGAGAAGAGAAUUAUGGGAUCUCUUUACAGGAAUCCACUGAACAUACAUCUUUGAAUGGGGAAAUGGAACAUAUAGUGAGUUGGGAACAGUCUUGGUCAUAAAAACAUGCCUAACUCAAGUCCAACUGGUUUCACAGUAGGCCGAUUGAAAACACAACUAAAUCCAGAUACAAUUCAACCUGUAGGAAGCGUAGAAAUAAGGCAUGCCCUCCUGAAUGGUGCUUAUAUACCGUAUUUUUCGCCCUAUAGGGCGCACCGGCUCAUAGGGUGCACUUAUUUUUUGGGGGGGGGAAAUAAAGGGGGGGAAAUUAUUUCCCCCCCAAGCUCCAAAGAGCAAAGAAGCCAUGACAGCGAGCGGGAUGGAUCCCGCUAGCUGUCCUGGCUUCGUUUUUAGCCUCGGGGCUGGGGGUCCGGGAGCAAAGGCAAGGUUGUGCAACCUCGCCAUCGCUCCUGGAGCUUGCGGAGCUGGGGGUGGGGGAAGCCCGGGUCCGGGAGCGAUGGCGAGGUAAGUACCAUGCUGUUUGCCUGUGCCCCUGUGAGUUCAGAAAGGGGAUUGAGGGUGGAAUUCAGUGUAGCACUGGGGGGGGGGGAAUAAGGCCCGCUCGUGUAACAGGACUUCCGCCUCUCCUCCUCCCACACCCCACACUACCUAAGCCUAUUCUGAGGCCUCCCCCAACCCUCCAGAGCAGAGUUAGGGAAUGCAGGGGAUGAUGAAGUCCUAUUGCAUGAGCAGACCUCAUUCCACACACAUAUCAACUGGAGUUUGUGUGUGAGAGAGAAGCAGGAUUGGGGAGGGGGGAGAAUCUGGGCUUUAUUUCUUCAAAAUGGGCCUCUGAAUCCCAAAAGGACUUCUGCAGAAGGAGAGAACCUGAUGCAAAUAUCAUUGCAUAUUGCCUGUCUCUGCAUCUCCGUUGUCUUAGGAUUGAUGUGCAUGUUUGUGGACCACUGGCAGAGGAAGAGGAGUGCGGGGGGAGUGCACCGCCCCCGGCAGCACGAUCCCGGUGGGGUGCCAUUGCAGCUACACCCCCGCCCACGCUGGGUGCCACAGCCCCGCAGGCGGCGUGCCACACUCCCAGGAUGCACGCCAGACCCAACCCUGCUUGCUUUCUGCCCCUCCCCCAGCGCCGGAGCAUGAAGCUCCGCCACUGUUGUGGACAUCACAUAAUAUCUCAUCAUUUGCACUUGGAGGCAAUGUCAGGUGAUAUGGAAGCAGAUGAUAUGUGAUGGCUCUUUAUUUACAAAUGCCAUCACUUCAUAAUACAAUCCGGAUGUCCAUGUGCCAACUCAUCCUUGCAUUCCCUGCCUCAUAGCUUUGCUUUCUGACUUUCAUGAUGUGCAGGCUGCUCAGUAUGUUCAGAAGCAGAAACUUAAGCCUGCCAAGUUGCUUCUCUACUACUACCUAAUAUAGCUACACCUUUUUUGGGGGGGCUUUUUGAGCUGCUUUGCUAUCCUCUUCCUGUCCCUGCCAUGAUGCAUGCAUUGCACACUUUAUGGAUCAUCACUGGUCAUUUAAUGACUUACUUUCCUCGCAGUGGGUGGUGGUCAUCUGUAGCCACUGGUAAAAGCAAACAUUAUCCCACCCCAUCCCUUCCCCCUUCACAUCACGGCCAGAAACGACAGACGAUCACCUCUCUAUGCAAUCAGAGCCUCCACAUGGUAUGUUUUAAAGUGGCCACUUCAUGACUGGCUGUCAUCGGAUUCCACUUGCAGUCACUGGGAGACUUUGUUUCAAGAAGAGCACAAAAACUAUCACAAGACCUGUCUUGUUUUCAGGCAAGCAACAGAAAUCUGUAGGCACGGGUUUAAGUCCUGGCUAAUGUGCCUGUGAUGCUUGCCUGUGCAGAGGGGCCAUCUUUGUACAAUAUGGGGCUUCCCCUCCCCUUCUUAGGCACGAUUCUGCUUUUUAUUAGCGCAAACUGGCAAUGAAGGAGAUGGGGAUGGUGUGUUGUGAGUUACUGGGGCGAGGGAAGGGAGAGCUGGUGCUAGUUCCUUCUUUAAUGAAAACCAGCUUUUCCAAAAACAGAAAAGACCUUGAUAAACCUCCUGGCUUCCUGCUAGGGGGUUUAUUCACCCUUCCUCUUGGAUCAAGCACCAGUUUUGGCUGGGAUCUUGUUUUAAGACUUUCCACCUUAGGUAAUUUAUUUCGUUCACCACGGAGAAUAACUUUAGGGCAAACAAAAGGAUUUGUGCUUUACUGGUUGAUCCAGUAUGGACCACACAUAUAUUUGGAUGCUGUUAUUGAACAUAACAUAUACCUUCCACCCAAUAACCAAGCACCAUAGGAUUUAUCAGCAGUGUAAUGACCAGUGAUGCAUAGAAGGGCAUCUCAAGGACAACAAGAAGCAUAGCCAUGGUCCCUUGGCUGCAUGCUAUUAUUUGUAAUUAUUUUAGGAAAUUAUUUACAUAGUAUCUACAGUUAUCUGCAGUGGAAGAAGUGGAGCAUUAUUACACUGCUCAAGCAGCAGGUAGGGGGGAAACUGACUGAUGCCAGUGGCAUUUGCCCACAUGCAUGUUGGAUGGCUACAAGUUGAUGACUUAUCACUUCCAAUACCUGCGGUUUCCUUUGAUGCCUUCUAGGUGACCCAGAAUGAAAUCAGCCUGGCUAUUAAAAGCAAUGGGCUGGCACAAUAAUACUAGGUUAGGUUGUAAGCCAAAUCCGGUCACACUGUUCUGUAACUCUGCCAUGUCAGUAUAGGAAUAGCUUCUGAGCAUGAAAUUCUAAUUCUUAAAAUUAUUAUUGUGGACAUUUUAAACAGGGCCAAAGUAGACAUGGCAAGCAAGCACAGAAAACAGCAACUAUGUGUCUAGUUCCCCUCUCCCCUUCUUUUCUAUAACACACCCUGGUCAGCAAACUUUUUCAGCAGUCCACUGUCCCUCAGACCUUGUGGGGGGCCAGGUUAUAUUUGGGGGGGGGGGGAUGAACAAAUUCCUAUGCACCACAAAUAACCCAGAGAUGCAUUUUAAAUAAAAGGACACAUUCUACUCAUGUAAAAACAUGCUGAUUCCCGGACCGUCCGUGGGCCGGAUUGAGAAGGCGAUCUGGCCCAUGGGCCUUAGUUUGCCUACCCCUGAUCUAGUAGAUAAGACCCCAUACUGCAAUAUCAGGACAGUCUGUGUAUUUUGACCCAAGCCUCCCUCACAUGGUUGGCAGUCUGAGAUGGGAAUGGAGUAGAUGCAGAAGACACAGAAAGCCAUGACAUCAUGACAUGAAGUAAGCUCUGUGAUGAUCUUGACUUGUAUUGACCUAAUGGCCAGGCAUCCAUUUUUACCAGUCCCUGACUCUCCCAAUGACAACACUAUAGUGCCAGUGGAAUAUUGGUUCUAGUCUUCUUCUCUGCAAAUUUGUGAUCUUCUGGAGAAACACACACUGAAACUUUCUGGGUGUUUCCCAUUAUUUUUUUUUAUUAAUGUGUUCCCAGGGUGAAAUUACCCAGCCAUGGGGUAUGAGUAAUUCCUGGCCAGGCUGACCCAGAGAUGAUAAUUUGGCCUUCUUCCUGAUACCUUCUUUAGUAUGGAGAUUGGGAAACCAUAUUAGUAUAGGCAUUCCUGAUUGGCUUUUUACAAGCCCCGCCUUGGAGAGAUUGGUUGGUCUGUGUCACAGGGAAUGGGUAAUGCCCUCUUCUCCAUCCUGAAUAUUCUGAGGUUUAAAAAGAGUCAGGAUAGUUCCCCAUCUCUCUUCUGGCUUCCUGGUUUCUGUGUCAAACAUAUUGGGCUGGUGCUUCUUCGGAGCCCAGGGAACAUGUGCCUGUUGCCAUUUCAAAGUGGCCUGAAACAAAGACUCUCAGCACGUGUAUGUAAGUUUUGGCCUCUGUUUGAUAUUCCCAUAUCUAGGCUAGGAAGGCAUCACAUAAGCAUUUUUGUAUUUAGUUAGCAUAGAAUUGUAGAGUUGGAUAUAUUUAAGUUACUUUAUCUGCUUCUUUUCCAUAGUAAGCUACCUUUCUUUUUAAUAAGAGUUUGGUCUAAGAAAGGAUUCUGUUUUCAGCUGUGUUUAAUGAAAAAGUCUACCUGGAUUGUUAGGCUAUGUACUUUCAUGGAGAGGGUUUCAUGCCCAGAUUAGCAAAGUGAGCUUGGCUUGGGCAUGCAAGUGGCUCCCAGGUCUUAAAGCAGGUCUUCCCCCGGAGCUUGUGUUUACUUUCUAGUUAGCAUGAACUAUGUUGUUGUUGGUAGUAAUGAAAUAUCUGCCCAUGUUGCGAAAUACCCAUGUUGCUAAAUUACAUUGAAGUAUGGCAUGGACGCAGUGUUUUCCUCCUUCACAAAUUCUAGCACAUAGGUUAACUGCAGUUACAAAAGGGUAGAAAACCUUGACAAGUUCUACAUUAUGGAGUAGGAAGGGGUAACUAUACACUUGGCAUAUGUUUCUGGUGACAGCCAACCACCCCACUAUAAUCUGUUAUAUAGUUUGGCCCACAGUGGGAAAAAGCCCAUUAAGACCAUGGCAUUGAAGUUUCCAGUGUGGAGCAGGGGGCUUAAUGUUAGCAACUGUAUUAGCAACUUAAAGUUUCACUGCAAACAGCCCUAGGUGAUCUAUAUAAAAGCCUUAAAUGUAAAUAAAAUAGAAAGAUGAGGUAAUCCUGGCCUUUUAAUUUCUUAGGCCAAGUAGAGUUGGCAAAAAAGGACAUAAGUAAUGGAGAAAUGACUGGGCGGGAAACUGACGUGUUUUCUGUCACCCAUCUCUUUCUAGUAUUGAUACCACCAUGAUACAAAGUACUUCAAGUCUUGUUUUGGGAGGCUGGAAUAAGCCUAUGGGGGCUUUCGGUGCAUUUUGAAUGACUGGACGGGGUUCUCUUUUCUGCUGGGAAACAUUGUGUGGAAGAGAAAAAGGGCAAAGUGAAUCAACUCGUAAGGCAGAAGCAUGCAUUGGGGAGAGGGAGAGAGAGAGAUGGCAAAUUUAAGAUGAGAAAAGAACUUUGAGAAAAUGAGGCUGCAAAUGGGGAGAGGGAGAGGAAAGAUGGAUAAUGGCUCGAGUGUAUCUUGCCCAGCUGGAAUGGUCUGAAGGGCUAUCUGUCUUGCCUUUUUAUUGUUUACUGCAGUGGAAAAUCAGGGUUAAUAGUACAAACAGGAAUAGUACAAAGAGGAACAGCACGUUCCAUGAGGAAAUCUAGAGAUGGUUAUCCAAACCUGACAACUGCCUAAGAGGCAUCGCAGGGGAGGCAGCCCUCAGCGCUGCUGCCGUGGGCAGUUCAGGUAGACACACACAAUUGCCUCUUGCAGAAUGGAUAGCAGAGGAGAGAGAUGCCCAGUGGGAAGCAAAGCGGGGUGGUCUGUUCGGCUAGGGAGCCCUGAACUACAACUUGGGGCUAUUUUGCGGUGACCUGGUGGAGUCUUUCUGAGCUUUUCUUUUCCUACCUCGUACUCUUUUCCAUUCUAAACUAUGAACUCCCUGUGGGCACAACAAAUGUGUUACUAUGUGUUUGCAUAGCUUCUCAUAUUAUGGUGACCUAAUCUCCACUGGGGCGUCUAGGCAUGACUAUAAUAAUAAAGGAUAAUAAAGGAAGAAUGCCACAAUAGAAAAAGGAAAGGAAGGAGGGCAGGGUAAAACAAGUAGUGGGCUUGGGGGCUGCAGAAAAGUAAGCAAGAAAGAUUUCAUGGGAAUAUUUGACUUUGAAUGUAUGCAAACCAAAUGCAGACUCUCAAGGAUACAAGCCUUUUAGGAAUAGUGCUUGUGCAUAUGACAAAGAGGUUUGCAGCUUGUAAAAUUCUACUUCCCUCUCCAACUGUUAAAUCUGUCAAGUUUCACACGCGCAAAAUUUGAAAGCAUUUCUACACAAUUGUACAGGUUUAUCAUGAGUCCCUUUCAGUCCCAGCAGCAACGGCAGCCUGCACCUUUGUUCUCCAAAGUACUGCCUCCCCCUUUCCUUCCCCAAACCUUCACAUUUUCAGUGGCUGACCUGCCAACACACUGAGCCAAGGAAUUUGGUUGAUGAUGGACCAGUUCUGUCUAAGUGGUUUGCAUCUCUGUUGUUGUACGGUGCCAUAGUUAUUGCUUUCUCCCAUCCAUUGCUGUCCAUCAGCCAAAAUGUUACAUUCUACUAUGAUCUUCGGCCAUAUCCUCACUUCCAGUAACUGCAGCCUUGGCAUGACCUAAGAAAAUAGAAUUGUGAGGUCAAUCGAGCUUCACAGUUCAGGAACAGUAUGACCCAGCAAGACCUUUGCUAGCAGACAAGAGCACAACGAUAAUGGUCAUUGUGUUCUACCACUAGCUGAAUCCUACCACCUUGGCUUCAUCUCAAAAUAACAAUGUGGUGCACAUCAUCCAGUGGCAGUUGUGAAGUCGCUGCACAUCUGCCCCAUGUAAAAAAAAUCAGCAUAGAAAUAUGCUAAAUGUUAAAGGGCUAGAAGUGUUAACGGAGAAACCGCUAUUGUGACAGCAGCUCCUGUGUGCUGAAUCUUUUCAUGGCCACACUGUGACUUACAGUGAAAUAUCUUCUGAUUAGUUCUUAGAGCAUCAGGAGAGAGAGAGAGAGAGAGAGAGAGAGAGAGAGAGAGAGAGAGAGAUGGGUGGUUGAGGAAGAGGUGGCAGCUAGUAGCAUGCCCCUACCAUCAAUUUCAGUUGUCUGGAGAGUCUAAUUCUAGUGACUUUGGGUCUCAGCUGCAAAGUCUCUUGUUCAAAACUGGCACCUGUUGUGAACUUAAGGACAAAUGAGAAGCCCUACCAGAUCAGGCCACAUGCCCAUCUAGUCCAGCAUCGUGUUCUUAGCGAUGUCAAUAAGAUGCCUCUGGGAAUCCCGCAAGAAGGAUUUGAGUUCAAUAGCGCUCACCACUUCUUAGCAGGGGUACCAUUCAAGAAUGGCAAGUGAGACCACUGACCCCUCCUACCUGUCUUUCAAACCUCAUAACUAUUUCUCAAAAGUGUUGCAAGGCAUAAAAAGUAACUGCCACAAGUAUUGCUAAAACGUGCUCCCCCUUUUUUUUGCGGCAAUUCCAUACCUGUCUAUAUAAGUAUUACUGUGGAUCUGUUCUUACUACACUAGUCCUCAAUGUGAGAGUCACAUAGCUUGUAGUCUCAAACUUCUUUAACCACCUGUGCAUUUAUUGAUAAUUUUCUGCUGUAAACAGUGGUUAGCAUGUUGCUUGCAUUUAACCUCCCACCCCACCAAUGGAAUUUUUCCUUGCACAGUGUCCCUCCUACGAUUGCAUUAAUGAUAUCUAGUCACCAUUUGUGCCUUGCCUAGAGGAAUAAUACUCAGAUCACCCUAUCCCCCCCCCCCCCCGUUCUUAUCCUGCUGUUCCUUGCCUGUAGGCACAUCUGGUCUAGUGUUCCUUGCUUGCUCCUGAGAAGACCUGUUUGUGGCACAUGAUAAUCUGGAUGAGUAACGUUAAAUUGUAAGAGAAGAGAAAGUGUGGCAUGGGCAUGCCUGGGCAGGGCAGCAUUGUUUUUAUUUCAUGUAACAAAAUGUAUAUAACGCAUGAUUAUAAGGAAACCUCUGAGUAGUUUACAAGCUAAUUGUGGACAUCUCUGUCUGGCCUCAUAAUACUCCGAGAACGUUGUUUAACCUCUUCCCCUCCCAAUUUUGCUGGCAAAUCAGAAAGCUUGUGCAUUCCUUACCUUAGAGUCAGAAUGUGUGUGUUUAUAUGUGUGUGGUGGGGAAGGGGGAGGGUGUAUAGUUAGUGGCUGUUGGGAGAGCCACACAUAUGGAACAAGUUAUUUAUUAUUUGUUAAGGUUCUAUUUGUGCUUGCAUACAGCAUAUUAGUUACAUUUUGGGCUCUUCUACAAUUUAUUGCAUAAAUGUAGUUGAGUAAGACAAGGUUUCCUAAAGGCAAUGCCAUUUGUCCAACACACUUGUGCAAUAGACCUCCUGGAGUCUUUGUCAACUUUUAUCCUUUUAACACACUGAAUCUGCACAAAUACAUAAGGCUGUGUGUUUUACAAACUUCUUGCUUCCCUUUGGAAGCCACAAAGAAGAAGAGUAGGGUGUGAUGAGCCCAGGAUGCCGGGGUGUUUUUCUGGGCGUUUGCCCCCCUGGUAUAGGGGAUGAUUUGGUCAGAGGCCCCUUGAUUUGGGGCAGAUCAUGCACCUGGCUCCCUCACUCCCACUGAAAUCAGUGGCACUUUAAUGUGUCUUGCUGGCUGAAUUGCCAUUUUAGGUGUGACCUGCAUGUUGCACAGCAGGCAACCUUGAGUAAGGAAGCCUUGAUAGCAAAGAUGCCAUCAGGAGGAUGUGAUUGACCACAAAGAAAUGAUGGAAACUUUAAAGAGUGCUUAACUCUUCCCAUGCCAGUCUUUUGUCUCUUGCGGUUUCCCUUCACCUCAGGUGCUCUUACACAUUUAGAUCUGUGUUUGUGAGGAUAAUCCAGCAAGCAGGGGAGAAGAUGAAUUGGAGGUCUGUAUAGUUAAAGCUAUGGUUUUCCCAGUAGUGAUGUAUGGAAGUGAGAGCUGGACCAUAAAGAAGGCUGAUCGCCAAAGAAUUGAUGCUUUUGAAUUAUGGUGCUGGAAGAGACUCUUGAGAGUCCCAUGGACUGCAAGAAGAUCAAAUGCAUCCAUUCUGAAGGAAAUCAGCCCUGAGUGCUCACUGGAAGGACAGAUCGUGAAGCUGAGGCUCCAAUACUUUGGCCACCUCAUGAGAAGAGAAGACUCCUGGAAAGGACCCUGAUGUUGGGAAAGAUGGAGGGCACAAGGAGAAGGGGACGACAGAGGACGAGGUGGUUGGACAGUGUUCUCGAAGCUACCAGCAUGAGUUUGACCAAACUGCGGGAGGCAGUGGAAGACAGGAGUGCCUGGCGUGCUCUGGUCCAUGGGGUCAUGAAGAGUCGGACACGACUAAACGACUAAACAACAACACUUGGAGUCACAGUGAAGCACGGGGACUUUGAUCUGCAAUUCUUAGUCUUGUCACAUGAAGCAGCAGGAUGCAGUCCCAAAGGUUCCCAUUUCUGGAGUAGGUGGAAUCUUUCUUGAUCCUGUCAUUAUACCAACUUUGGUAACCCAAAAUUCCUAGUUACCCAAACUGCCCCUGUGCCCACUAUACUUUCAACUGUUGUUGACUGAGCCUUCAUUAAUCUGAUUUGUUGGUUAUCUAAAUAUCUUUGGCAUUACACCCCCACCCCUUUCUCUGCCCAGCACAUAAAUGAGGUUGCAUUGUAUCGUCCCUUCUAGCUAAUUAGCUGUUGGUAUUGGAAUUAAACAGCUAUCAUUAACGAAAAACAGAGGCCAGGCUAUUUCCUGGCAUAAAUUGAUUUGGUAUGGAGUUGAACAGCUGAGUGAGACACCAAAACAGGAAACAUAUUUUUAUGAAUUGUUCUCUCUCUCUCUCUCUCUCUCUCUCUCUCUCUCUCUCUCUCUCUCUCUCUUGUUUUGCUUCUUGUCAAAGAAGAAAAAAAGAAAUUCCCGAGGAGUAAAGAAUAAGGACAAAAGCAUUUUCAAAGUGUUUGUUAGAUUUUGGAAGACUCAAGUUGUUUUUGUUUACUGUGUGAGGUUCAUCCCCCUCCCAGUUUCCCGUUCUCUGCCUUUGGGGCAUGCAUUCCAAACCAGGAGGGAGCCCACAAAAGGAAUGGUCUUUCUUGUAUCACUCCCUCCUUGUGACAGCAAAGAAGUGAGUAAGCAUGGGAGCCAAAAUGGGAGAGGGCAAAGGAGGAGACAGCAUCAACCAAAGGGUGCAGAGCUACUCAUACUUUUGCAGAAAUAUAGGGCAGAGGGUCAAAAUGACCUGUACCUCACCCCCCCCCCAAAAAAACCCAGAUGGGCUAAGAAACUUCAUGCUACCUGGAUCAUUGGAAGCAGAGAGCUGUGCACAGGUGCAAAUUCUCAGCUGGGUGAGGCUGGGGAGUGAGGCAGAAGAAAGGAAGUAAGUGAUAUAACUAGGAUCUAAGAGAAGAAGGAAUCAGCCUCUAAGGACAUGCACUGUCAGACGCACAUCCUCCAAGCUCACUUCCUAUCUCUGAAAGGGACUUCUAAUUAAGCUGUGAGAGUGAUGGUCCCCCCCCCAACAACUUAAUGGAUUGCAGGGCAGGAAGAUAUAGCCAUGCAGGGCAUUAAUCUUCAGUGACAUGAUACGCAUCUUGCAAAGUAAAAGAGUAUAGUAGACAGCCUAUGUGCAGUUCUCUAAAUAAGCUCUUCUCUCCCUUUGAUUCACGACCCAGUUUGUUUGCUACAGCCCAGUCUCGGUUAGUGAACAAAUAGAAAACAGUAUGAAAUUUCUGCAGACAGUUAGCAUAGAAGGUUGAAACACUGUAUUCUGGACACUAUCAUUUCAGGGUUGCAGAAAAGAAGCAAUGCUGAUGGAUCUAUUCUAGUGCUCUCUCUGUGUAUGUAUGUGGAGUGGUGGGGCAUGGAGGUUCAGACAGAUUGCCAUAUGGCCAGGAAUUGCACCCCCCCCUCCAGGUACAUGCAUACUGGACUGAGUCUAGAAGACCCUGUCAGCAGUAAGAUUCAUGCAUUAAGGUUCAAGGACCUACUCAGGUGGAAUUUACACACAUAUAAAAAAAUGCUGUGAAAAUGUGGUUUUUUUUAAAAAAAAACACUUUGAAAAAUACAUUGGAUUCUGCAUAGCUCCCUGCCGCCAUCUAGUGUCACAUUUGUAUAUUGCACUUUACAACAUGUUUAAAACGUUUUAUUUGCAGCGAUGUAGCUGAGUCCUCAGUUUAAUUCAUAGAAUCAUAGAAUCAUAGAGUUGGAAGAGACCACAAGGGCCAUCGAGUCCAACCCCCUGCCAAGCAGGAAACACCAUCAGAACACUCCUGACAUAUGGUUGUCAAGCCUCUGCUUAAAGACCUCCAAAGAAGGAGACUCCACCACACUCCUUGGCAGCAAAUUCCACUGUCGAACAGCUCUUACUGUCAGGAAGUUCUUCCUAAUGUUUAGGUGGAAUCUUCUUUCUUGUAGUUUGGAUCCAUUGCUCCGUGUCCGCUUCUCUGGAGCAGCAGAAAACAACCUUUCUCCCUCCUCUAUGUGACAUCCUUUUAUAUAUUUGAACAUGGCUAUCAUAUCACCCCUUAACCUCCUCUUCUCCAGGCUAAACAUGCCCAGCUCUCUUAGCCGUUCCUCAUAAGGCAUCGUUUCCAGGCCUUUGACCAUUUUGGUUGCCCUCCUCUGGACACGUUCCAGUUUGUCAAUGUCCUUCUUGAACUGUGGUGCCCAGAACUGGACACAGUACUCCAGGUGAGGUCUGACCAGAGCAGAAUACAGUGGCACUAUUACUUCCCUUGAUCUAGAUGCUAUACUCCUAUUGAUGCAGCCCAGAAUUGCAUUGGCUUUUUUAGCUGCCGCGUCACACUGUUGGCUCAUGUCAAGUUUGUGGUCAACCAAGACUCCUAGAUCCUUUUCACAUGUACUGCCCUCAAGCCAGGUGUCCCCCAUCUUGUAUUUGUGCCUCUCAUUUUUUUUGCCCAAGUGCAAUACUUUACAUUUCUCCCUGUUAAAAUUCAUCUUGUUUGUUUUGGCCCAGUUCUCUAAUCUGUCAAGGUCGUAAUUUGAGACAACAUUUUUAUUUGGGGAGCAUUAUGUGUAAAAUACUUUUAAUACUUCAUAAUAAUAUGCAGAUAUAUAGGUGUUCCUGAGGAUUAACCACAUUUUGCUUGUAUAGAACUUCCUUCUGCCUUCCUUUAAGAGGUGGUUCUGCUAACCCAAAUUAGAAACUCAUGCAAACAGUCCAUUUGAGUGAGCAAUGGAGUAAUUCAGGGGAACGGGUGAUGACAGCAUGUGUUCCCUGUAUUAGAAAAAUCAAAAGGUAUUUUUUUCUAAUCAUAGAAACAGUCGGUUCACCAUGAUCUUCCACUUUGGAUGUUAAUUGACAUUGGUUAACCCUUUCCCAUGUGGGCUAUUUUUCCUAAUCAAUACCUCCACCCCUCCCCAUUGCUUACCCACUGAAAUAUAUGGACUCAGUUUCCACCAUUGCAUGGCAUGGCAGUUGGAUAGAGGAGAUUAUCAUAGCUUGAGGGGAAAGGAUUGAGUAGUCCUUUCCCCUGUAGCUCCAAUCAGAUUUGCAGCUGCCCAUGGCCAUAGUUAAAUAAACAAUACAAAGCAAAACAAACAACAACAAACAGCUGAAAGACCGUGCAGUAGGUUAGGACUUACGCCACAGUUAGCAUUUGAUUGCAAGCUGUGACCCAUAUGACUGGCUCUUUAAUUGGAACCUUUGUCAAGGUUCACAUUCCCUCAAGGACCGCAUAACAGUGGUGUGUGUAGCAAACAUUGGUACAACCACACACACAAACCAACCCCUACCCUCCGUGCAGGCAAGCAAGGUAUAUUAUUACAGUUCCAGGACACAUCCCAAUUAGGUAAAAGCACAAAAGGACUAGGGCCAGUGAGGGUUGUGGCCUGGGAGGGUCUGGCCAGCACAGAGUUUUGAGGGCUGGAUAGAGAAGCUGGGUUGUGGGGGGGGGGCACAUUUGCCUGCCGGGCCUGAGGUUCUCCACUCCUCCUAUAGGGAAAAGCCUUUUCAAGGGGAGCAAGCAGACACUGUGUACCCCAGCGGGGCACACACAAUGUUUGUAUGCAUUCAGAAAAUGGCUACAGAAAAAACUAUGGGUAGGGCAAGGAUCCCACACCCCUCGGCCCUGAAUACUUCCCUAAGGCACCAUCUGCACGAUACAUUUAAGGCAGGAGUACCACACCGCUUUGGACAGUAUUGGCUUCUAGGAACAGUACUUUGUUAAGAGUGAUGACAGUACUUUGUUAAGAGUGAUCACACAGCUACAAUUCUCAGAGUGGCUUAACAGUCAUUUUUUGUUUCCAGAGAAUUCUGGAAAUUGUAGCUCUCUGAGAGGAAUAGGGAACCAUCAGCAGUCUUAGCAAAACUACAAUUCACAGAAUUCUUUGUUGGAAGCGAUGACUAUUUAAAGUCGUAUGACACCGCUUUAAAGUUAUCGUGCAGAUGGGACCUAAAUUAUGAGCAGCUGUCCUUAACAGAAGCAUCUGUUAGGGUUUUGUUAGUGCAUUAGAAUAAUGUGUGGUUCCACCCCCUCCCAUUCAUAAGAUUGUUUUAAUGGAGUUUCCUCUGCAGUGACAUCCACACUGCUUACUCGUUUAGAUUUUAGAAAGGAGGGCAAGACCUCGGGAAAGCUUUUUAAUGAGCAAUUCAUUGCCAGAGUAGAGUUCAGUUUUUAAAAAAGAAAGUUAUUUAAGGACAACUGAUCUUCAUAGUGUUGAUCUGAUUGCUUCUAUUAUUCACUGCUUUAGAUUUUUGUAAGAAAUAUAAAAAUACAUAAACAUAUAUACCAAAACAAUUUUGUUAAAAACCCACACCAUAUUUAAUUCAGGAAAGUGUGAAUGAUGGAAGUAAAAAACUAAAAACAAAAGUAGGAAAGGGUGGAAGUAUAUUGCAAAUCUUCCAGAAUCCCCCCAGAUAGGCAUACAGCUACCCUAUUUUGCUGUUAUUCCAGUGAAUACUGACAGUCACUGUAAAGUAACCAUCUGUUUUUUCUGAUGUGUCUCUGAGUUCCUUGAGGUUCAGAAAAUUUAUUUGAGAUCACGGCCGUAGCUAGGGGGUGGAGAGGUGGGCCCCCACUAGGGGUGCAGGGGGGUGGGAGGAGCAAAAUCGGCUAAAAAUAUGUCCAUAAAUAUGUCUGUAAAUAAAAAAUAUUGAUUAUUGCCUCAUAAGAAAAGGUUUUAAAUUGAGGGUGAAUUGAAUGGGGGGGGCGGUUGGAGGAGAGGCAGAAGGAAGAGCUAACUUGUCCGUGGCUAAGGGGCGCAAUCUGGACGGUUCUGCCAGGAGCACAAUAUCAUCUAGUUAUGGCUCUGUUUGAGAUGUCCAUUAAGUACUUUUCAGGCUUUCUUCCAUCACACAGUUAUAACUAUAUAAUCAUAAUCAUGUGGGGGGGGAGUGGGACUGUGCUCCCUGGCCCCACCCUCAGCAUUGCAUCCUUGCUACCUCUCAUGGUUCACAUGUUUGGUGAGGGGGGGCAUACGUAUUGGGUGUGUGAUUAGGUUUCUAAAUCACACAGGGAGUCUCUGCAUGUAUGCUGUGUGUGGCCCUGCUCUCUCCCUCAUGCAGCUGUAAUUGUGUGAAUACCCAAAUAGGGCUUCAGUGGUCCAGGGAACUGGAAAGUAGGACAUGAGCUAUGGACUAUUGGAAGGAAGGAAGUGGGCAGGCCAGGGAUAUAUCGAAGAUGAGAGACUGUGGGCCAAAGAGUUAUGAAACACAGUCUCUAGACCCUGACAGGAGAAUCCUGCCAUUUGUAUGUUUGAUAGUUAGUUCAGCAUUGCGACCUGGUUAACCUGAAGGCGGCAACAAUGCCAAAUAGUUGUGUUUGCGUUUGAACUAGCCCAUCAAUUCUUUGGCUUCAGGAUUCUAGUAUUUUAAUCAUCUCUUUGACAGUUGCAUAAGGGAAGGAGAGGAUAGGGAAAGUAUAUAUUAUAGCCUAUGAACAAAUGUGCCAAAAUACAAGAGGGCGGCCUUGUCAGAGAAUAAUUUACAGCAGCUGACGUUUGAAAUAUAUUGAAGCAGAAGUUAAAAUUCAAGCUGGGAACUCAGCCCAGAUUUGGUCAUGAAGGGAAUGCCUCAAAAAGUGUCCGGGAAAUGAAGGGAGGCCCAGCAGAGUGAAAUCAAAGUUAACAGACCUUCUUCCUCUAGCCCAGAGCACUGACCAAAGUAGAAGUAAACAGCGCUGAGAAGAUUAGAACAGCCAGGGAAAUAAAUGGGGCACAGCAUUGGACAACAAGGUCUUAACAAGACCACUGGGCAUCAGCUGGCAAAGGCAAGGGUGGUAUAAUAGUGUUGGGAGUCUGGCUGUUGGAGUACUGUGAACGAGUCUGCCACUAUAGUUUCUCCUGAAGUGUCACCUAAUGAAAGUCGGGGAUUUGGCAAAAGAAAGUUAAUGUUUCUUUAAUGGCUGUGGAUGUUUCCUGAAUGGGCAAUCCACCUGCAGGGGGUCUAAGUCUGGGACUUGCACUUAUGCAGAUGUUUUUCAGUGGAGAGGGAGAGACAUGAAUUAGCUGAAACUGGAGUUGCAGCCAUGGUACAAGUUGCUCUCCGGGGACCUGCUGCCUGCUGUAGAAGUGCCUGUUUGUCUCCACUUAUGCUCUGCCAUAUAUUUGUAAAUAAAACAGACAUUACAAAGGCACCUUUAAGUCCGUGCUCUUUUAUCCCCCUCCCUCCAACAUCCUGUAGUGCUGCUUCUGGAACUUCUCAGUGCUUGAGAACAACGCAGUGCUGGUGUUGGCAGUGGCAUAUUUUGUGUCCUUGAAGAGAAACUGUGGGCUUAUAAGUGAGCCAUCCUAAGAUGGAGGAAAUGACAGCUCCAGCUUAAAAGGCAGAAACUCACCCAAAGUCAGUAAAAAGCCUUCCUACCCAGGCCAUGCAUAUUUCUAAUUUUCUUAAUUCUUCACUUUUUUGGCCCCUUGUUGGAAAGCAAUUGUCCCCAUAUUGUAUACUUGUGUCAGCCUUGAAUAUUUGCAUAUAGCUUACUGAUCCCCUGGGUAUGCUGGAACCUCCCUUUUGUUGGUGGAUGGCCCCAUUUGACCAGAAUGGGUUCAUCUGAAUAUGGAAUUAGAGGGAAUGAUUACUCAUAGAAGGGAGUCCAGUCUUUUCCCACCAUCAGCCACCUCAUUUUAUGAGCAACGGUUGAGGGAGUUGGGCAUGUUUGGCCUUGAUAAGAGGAGCCUGAGAGGAGAUAUGAUAGCCAUCUUCAAAUAUCUCAAGGGCUAUCUCACAAAAGAUGAAGCAAACUUGUUUUCUCCUGCUCUGGAGGGUAGGACCUAAAUCAGUGGCUUCAUGUUACAAGAAAGGAGAUUCUAAUUUAACAUCAGGAAGAACUUUCUGACGGUAAGAGCUGUUUGUCAGUGAAAUGAACUCCUUGGACAGUGAUGGACCCUCCUUCAUUGGAAGUUUUAAAGCAGAGGUUGGAUGGCCAUCUGUCAUGGAUGUUUUAGUUGUGAUUCCUACAUUGCAAGGGGUUGGACUAGAUGACCCUUGGGUCCCUUCCAACUCUACAAUUCUAUGAUCACUCAACAAACACUUUAAAGGGCAAAGACAGGAUGAUAUAUAUGUGGCUAGUCACAACUGAUGCAAUACACAUGCAUCAAUGUGUUAGCUAACUAGAAGUUGAUGCGAACUAUUGGGGUAAAUAAACAUUUUCUUUGGGCAGCACAUUCCACUGAAAUUAAUGGGAUCCAGAGUUGCAACUAACUAAACUUAUUUUGCGUGUUGCAAGUUGAAUUGUGUUAUAUGGGGAAGGAUUGUCGCUCAGGGGUAGAACAAAUGCUUUGCAUGCAGAAAUGUCCCAGGGCCCAGGAAACAGUUCUGCAGGCAACAUUGAGCUAGAUAGGCUUAUGGAGUGUUUCCCAACCUUGGGUCUCCAGCUGUUUUUGAACUACAGUUCCUAUCAUCCCUGGCCACUGGUCCUGCUAGCUAGGGAUGAUGGGAGUUGUAGUCCAAAACAGCUGGAGAUCCAAGGUUGGGAAACACUAGGCUAAUGGACUGACUCUGCAUGAAACAGCUGCCUAGGUUCUAAUAUAUGAGAUCGCCUUUAUAUAUUGAUGGGAUAGAUGAAAUGCUGAAUAAGCUCAAAAAGUGGAAAAGAACUCCUGUUAAAAUCAAGCUUUUGUCUCAACUCUUCAUUCUUUCUACCCCAAGAUAUAUUACUAUGAAAAUAACACAGCAAGAUUCAUUUCUGGAAUGCAGAGGCAAGGUGGACAAAUUCCAGCUAACACCCGUUACCUGUGAUUGACACUGGCCCAUUACAGUGGACAACACAGUCAACUCCCAGAGUUUCCUACCCCAUAGAUCUUAAACAAACGCUCUGCUUUGGUAAAUCUUCAUUACAAUUAUGGAAACAACCCACAACCCAGAAGCACUAAUGAGAAGCUCUCAAGAUGGAAUUUGAGCAAUGUAUCUUUGUAUAUCCUGACAUUUGAUAUUGUAACCCUGAAAUGUGAAGCAGUGUACGGGUAACCCCAAUGUGGGCUGAAGAGUGAGUCAUUUCACAAGGGGAGACAACAUUGUUUAUAAAUCAUUGUUUCUUUGAAGUAGAAAAAAAUGAAGAAAGAAUCCCCUAGACAGAAUUAUGAUUAACCAUCUAAUUGUUCUGCUGGUAUGCUUGCUUUAGGGCUUUCCUUUGCUCCAUGCACAUAAAGAAUUUGUUUCUCAACUUGCCAUCCUUGCACCCAGAUGAUAGUCAUUAAGAAAGGGGCCAACUGAGCAGUUGUAUAUUUGUAAUCCCAACACUCUCAGUCCUGUUUUCUUCAUCUUAUUCAGCUGAAUCUAAUACUGGAGCAAUGAGCUCCAGGAGUUGCUCUGAUAUAUGUUCUUCAACUGUUCCACCUUACCAGCCCUGGCUGUGGAUAAGAAAACACUAUAUGCUUUGGAGGAAGAUCCUGUGGAGCUAGUGGUUCAGUUGUUGUUAUCUUGGACCAUGGACAACAGGCGCUCUGGUUUGCCCCCAUGAUGGAAGGGGCCAGCGUCGCAUGCAGGCCUCACGUCACACACACGUGCCACAAGAUGUGCUGAUGUGUCACGUGCACACUGUGCGGCUUGAGCAUGUGACAUGUGCAUGUUGUGUGACAUGCGCUAGUGACAUGAGCACGUCACAUGGCGUAUGCACACGGCAUAUGCAUGGCGCUGCAGGAUAUUCAGGGGGCCCAACCCCCUCCUUGAUUUUUUUGGGGGGCCAAGGCCCCUCGUCCACCACCCCCCCGGUGCCCCUGAUGGACAACAUGAUUUAAGGGGACGUAGUUGUGGUGACAGCGCGGGUGGCGCUGUGGUCUAAACCACAGAGCCUAGGGCUUGCCAAUCAGAAGGUCGGCGGUUUGAAUCCCCGUGACAGGGUGACCUCCCGUUGCUCCCAGAUCUGGCCCCCGUGCCUUAGUUUGCCUACCCAUGCUGUAGCCCAUUGUUUUGAAAUAUGCCCACACAUCCAUAUUACAGUCCCUCAGAACUGAAGAGCAGGGCAUUAUAUAAUUAAAUCAUAAAUUUAAAAAUACAUAUUGACUAAAGAGCAUAGUGCAGCUGCAACAGUUUUUCCUUUCCUACUGUCCUUUGACUACCCUUUACUAUUUUUGGCAUUUGUGGGGACAUUUAGGACAUAGUGAAUGUGAUAAGCCUGUGGAGUUCAUGGAGUGAAGCCAUGGCUGGCCAGAGAUGGGAUCCAUGUGUGCCCGACAUCACCAAUGUGGUGACAAGGGAGUGACUCCAACACCACCACACAUGUUUUGCUUAAAGAUCAAAAGAGACAGUGCGUACACUGAAGAAAAUGACCAGAAUCUCAGGAGCAGAGUAAAAGAAUCCAAAAAGCUUGGAGUAAAAGGAGAAACUAUGGGCUAGGUAAAAUCCAGCAAAACCAACAGAUAGUUCUGGAAAUCAUUUUAUGAAGGUGUCCUGAAUUACUUAUUACAUAACAUUAAUUCUGCAGGGGAGCUAAUAACACAAGUUUUUCUUUUUUUUAUUAUUCCAAUAAGGAUAAUAAUCUGCAUUGCCUUCUUUCCUCAGUUCAGUUUAGUAGUAAGCAAACCCUUCUCAGCUUAAUUAGGAAUUGGCUCAACAAUUGCAAGUUUUCUUUAGGAGCUUUUUUUUGGGGGGGGGGAAAUUGUCUGUUUCCCCAAACUUCUCCCUUAGCUUGUAAUGAUGGUACAUGCAUGUUAAUGGUACCCUGUGUGCUGGGAAAUAGAGUUCCCAGCAUCAUCAACCAUGGUCAUUUGGAAAUUCACCCCUGAUUUCCAAAGUGAAGAUGCUAAGGAACAAUAUAAAGGACAAAGCAACCACAUAAAACAUUUGCCUGAAACUAUAGAACAGAGAAUUGGUCCAAAUAGAGAAGAUCCUCUCUUUCUCUUUCUCUUUCUCUUUCUCUCUCUCUCUCUCUCUCUCUCUCACACACACACACACACACAGCGCCAUUGAGGCAUAUUUCCAGUUUUCACAUGGGGAAGCAUAAAGGCGCUAGACCAGGGGUGUCUAACUCAAAUUCAUCGGGGGCCGCAUCAGCAGUUUGGUCACCCUCAAAGGGCCGGUUGUAUCUGUAGGACUUACAGUACAGGAGAGAAGGGUUCAGGCAGCCGUUGGAUCUGUCACAUCACAGGAUGGCAUGCGCUCAGUAUAAAAACAAGUGGAGGUUUCCUGAAUGCAUGUAAAGUGGAGGUUUCUUGUGUAGAACGGCCGGUGCCGCUAGAGGGCAGACGUUCUCUGGCUUGUAGGCUGCCGCGCAUGCGCUGAAGAGGCGACUUUCUUGUGUAAAAAAAAAAAAGCAAGAAUAAAGGUGAAGGCUGGCGGCUGGCAGCGGCUACACGGGCCACAUGACGAGGUCUGGUGGGUCGGAUUCGGCCCGCGGGCCUUGUGUUUGACACCCGUGCGCUAGACCUACCCCCAUGAAAUACUAAAAAGUAGAUUGGAGCCCAUUUGUGCCACAUGUAAAUGUUGUUAAUACACAACAGAUGCAGUCCUUCAAUUAAGACUACUUUAGACAGCAGAUUUUAAUAUAUCAUUAGCGGGUAGUGUUGCCCAUUAUUUUUAUUAUUCUAUUUUCACCACUGUGGGAGCAACACUGGGAUAUUUUGCCUCAGUCACCAAAGUGACAAGGGCUGUCUUUGACAUGUGAAAGACUAGACAGAGCAUGGAACAGAGACUGAAUGCAGACUGUAGCCAAUGUAGAAUUUAUACAUCCAUUAUAGACCAACUUAAGCCUCGCACAUGAAAAUCCCUUUCAUGUAGGAAGCAAGGAUCACAGUAUCUUGGACUGUCAAUUGAUUUAUAGGUACAGGGGCAAAGGUGAAUAAGCUGAGCAACAUUUCAUUCCCUUUCACAAAUGCUUGCCCAUUUCCCUCAAAUGGCUAAAUUUAUUCUGAGGUCACAGUUAUGGCUCGGCUCAUCUGCAAAAGCAAUGACAACAGACCUAUACAAUGCGUUCCAAAUGGAAUGUUAAGCCAGCCACACUGAAGCACUAACAUCCUUCAGAAUGGAAUUUUGAUCUCCUCAGAUCUCCUCCAGACCCCAGUGAAGCAAAUGUGAUCCAUGUUAUUGAUUUCUGUGGGUUGUGGAGCAGACCCAGAAAGUUAUAGAGAGUUCAGAAUGAAGCAAGACAAGCCUGCGCCAGUUCCUACUGUAACUGAAUUAUGCAUUUCAAAUGAUAUGAAUGAAACCUCAUUUUGGCUAAUUUGUUUCACAAACAUCUGCUUGCAUUUACACAUUUUUAUGACAUGAUAUCAGGCCGAUUAUGCGUCUGCUGUAUCUCUCCAGCAUAUGGUACGUGCUACAACAAAUCGAUCACAGUUAUGUGAUCAGAGUGUGCGGUAAACAUCUUCACAGUACAUAUAAUACUAUCAUGGCUUUCCAGAACUCACUUUGCAGUUUAAUCUCUAAAAUAUUCUUGGAAAGAUUAACCAGUGGUUUUCUGAAAUGCUUGUCGCUUAAAGAUCUUUGCCCUGUCUGGAAGUUACAACCGAAAAAGUUGGCCUCCUCUGAAAAAUAGAAACACACCUUUCUCACAAUCUUUCAGGAAAGGUCUGAGGCCCAGUCACAGCACGCAUAGCAGCAAUGCCAUUUUUGUAAAUAAAUAGUUGUAGUAAUCUUAGAGGGUGCGGGGCCUCUUUCUUUUCCUUGUCUGAGGCACUGGAUUUCUUCAGUUUGACACUAUACAGCAGUAUUAUCUGAGAAGUUUUAAUUUGAGCAGAAAGACAAGACGCCAUGUUCUUAGAAAGAAUCUAGAAACAGUAACCUUUUAUUCAGAUGUUGCUUUGUUAUUGGGCACAUGGUGGCUGCCCGGUAAAUAAAAUAAAUCUGCACAGUGUUUGUCCUGAAUUCCUGCCUAUCUCCCUUCAAUCAUACCUUGUUUUGUGUGAUCUAACACUGCAGUCAUUCUAAGUCAGAUUGCAAUAGGACAAUGGAGAUGGUGCUAUCUUAUAAAUAUUGCAGCAGCACCAUGCGUAUUGAUCCUCAUCCAACAUGGCACUGCUCAGUUAGACCCAGAUGCCACCAUUACAGAUGUGGAAGUAGCAUUGCCACCGUAUCUGUCCCAGUCCAAUCUAGUGUCUUCUCUUCUCUUAUGGAGAGGCACAGAGAAAAGGUAGAGUCCAAGCUGGAUUUCCAAGCCAACCAAGGAUGAGUAAAGGGAUUCCAAAACUUGCAAAGCUCCUGAAAAAAAUUAAAGCUGCUCCAAAUGAACAUAACUUGCAUUGGCUAUUGCUGAUCUGAGCUUCUCAGAGAAAGGUAUAAAAAAACAGUUUUUGUUGUUGUUUAAUGGGAGGUUAAUCUCUUCAUCUCCCCAAUUAUUUUCAGAAACAAAAUGGAAUAAGAGUAAUAAUUUCUGGGUGUAAGAUUUCAGAGUUCUAAAGCUGGUGACAUAUUGGAUACAAGUUAACAGUGUGGAUAAUACACCAAAAUGGAAAGUCACCUGCUGACCCCAAGCCUUUACAGAAGAAGCUUUGAUAUUGUGGAAUGCACACCAACAUUCUGAUUGCUGAAAAAGAAAGGAUCGUUCAUGCACUACUGGCAGAAGAAGUUCUAGGGUAGGGUAUUCCAACAGUACCAACAUAUCACCCCUGCCCCUACCCUCUGUUCUCCCAAACUAUAUAAAUAGCAGGAUCAUGGGUUCUGGUCUUGAGCCGGAAGCACAGGAUAUAACCAAAUUGAAUGAAUUCAGUCUCCAAAGAAAACCACCUUGUGCACUUCAAGCAGAAUGGAAAGUAUUCCACCUCUUCAUUUUGUACAUGGCUUAGAGAACCCUGGCAGGGGCAAAGCCAAGCCCAUGGCAUCAUCCAACUGAGCUUUGGUGAUGCAUGUCAGAUUCAGGUGGCAUCCCAUAGUGGAACUACAGCAAAUCCGAUUUAUCACGAAAGACCCUCAAAUGGGGGAUUCUGCACUAAGUAGUUCCACAUGCACUGGAGGCAAUGAGCAGUAGCACCUUCUGCAGUGCCUUGGGCACAUCUCUCCUAUUGGUUGUGUCUCUCAUGCUGAAGUGUCUCAUGUUCCUCUCCCAAAUGCCCCCGUGGUAAAAAAACAACACAAAAACAAAACUAAGGUAAAGAAUUAGAGCAAAAGGGGGAGCACCAUAAUGUAAACCACUGGCUGGAUUCUUCCUUGCUUAAGGAAAUAGACACUGUAGAGGAGGAACUGGGAAGACAUCUUGUCUGAAAAAAUGUCACUAUGUCUCCCCUUUUGAUUAGAUUAUAGCAACAAAAUGUCUGAGUCGAUACAAAGUGAUCACCUGCAGGCAAACCAAAACCAUGCAUUUUUCAGCUAAAGAGCUGGUGACUGUGGGGAGAAGAGGACCCAUUUAUUUUCAUUCUUUUGGCUAACCCAAGUUUCUUCUAUUUCUCAUUAAGCUUUCAAAAAUAGAGCUAGCUUUCCUGAGGGAGAAACUGUGCCUUUUCUCAUCACCCUUAGCUUUCUUUAAAUAGCCACGUGCUGUUGGACAAGUGAUGGGUAGCAUUUUUGCUGUUGGUGGUAGAUGGAAAAGGUUCAAGUAUUAAAUGCUGUCCAGGGAGUAUUGGAGGGUGAAGUAUGCAUGUGCUUAAGGUAAAAGGUAAAGGACCCCUGGACAGUUAAGUCCAGUCAAAGGUGACUAUAGGGUUGCGGCGCUCAUCUCGCUUUCAGGCUGAGGGAGCUGGCAUUUGUCCGCAGACAGGUUUCUGGGUCAUGUGGCCAGCAUGACUAAACCGCUUCUGGCACAACGGAACACUGUGACAGAAACCAGAGUGCACAGAAACACUGUUUACCUUCCUGCCACAGCAAUACAGUGGUACCUCGGGUUACAGAUGCUUCAGGUUACAGACUCCGCUAACCCAGAAAUAGUACCUCGGGUUAAGAACUUUGCUUCAGGAUGAGAACAGAAAUUGCGUGGCGGCGGUGCAGUGGCAGCGGGAGGCCCCAUUAGCUAAAGUGGUAGCUCAGGUUAAGAACAGUUUCAGGUUAAGAACAAACCUCCAGAACGAAUUAAGUUCUUAACCAGAGGUACCACUCUACCUAUUUAUCUACUUGCACUGGCAUGCUUUUGAACUGCUAGGUUGGCAGGAGCUGGGACAGAGCAACGAGAGCUCACUCCAUUGCAGGGAUUCGAACCACUGACCUUCCAAUUGGCAAAGCCCAAGAGGCUCAGUGGUUUAGACCACAGCGCCACCCGUGUCCCUCUAAUGUAUGUGCUUAGGGCUUGAUCCUUAGUUGGUCGCAAGGGUGGAAGACUUCGUCUUACCUUCAGUGAAUUUGGACCAAGCUGUGGGUAGUGAACACAAUCUAAGAAUGCAGGGCUGGUGCCAGACUUCAGCUGGCUCUCAGCAGGGUGCCUAAACACACAGUUUCAGUGCACAUAUUCCCAAAACAUCUGUGGUAUAUUUUCUUCUCCUAUUCAGAGGUGGCACAUCUGCCUGCCCACCACUAGAAUAGCUGUGUGCUAUGCAGAGCCCUGGAGGAGAGGGCAAGGCGUGGCAGCAAAGCUGGUGUGGGUCAAAGUGUGGGUGCUUCUGUUGCCCAACCCAACAGAUCUGUAUUAAUGUAACGGGCAGCAAAGACAGGGAAAUAGGCAGUAGGUGGAGAGCCAUCUAGAGGUAUUAAUCAGUGCUCUGUCCUCCAAAAAGAGAAUAUAGACAUAUGAGGGCAGUUGAACAUGCAUUUUUUUCAUUCCUGAAACUGGAUGCAACCAGCCCAAGAUAAGAGAGCAAGAUAUGCUAUUCCCGCCCAUUUAAAUUGGCCCUGCCAUGGAAGAAAAGCCUUAAUUUACAGCCUUAGCUUAAGAGAUCAAAGCUGCAGAUCUUUCAUCUUCUCUUGCCCUGGGAAUCACUUGUAGCAGAUUCAUGAGUGAAGCAGAUUCACCUUUAUUUAUGUGCAAAGCCCAGUGGCCAGUUGGCUUCCAGGCGGAAAAGUGUGCAUGCAAUAUAUCCCAAAUUCAGAAUUUUCCCUCUGCUGCAAUGUCUUUGAAAGUCAAGCUCAUGAUAUGUUGGUCCAAUGAGUUCAAAGGUCAAGGCUACCUAAGCCUAAAGAGAGGUCUUGGAGGCCCAGUUCACAGUGGUCAUAUCGAAAUGAGAUUAAAGUCUCGGCCUUUUGAAAAUUCCAUGCUGAUGGUAUGCAUUAAAAAACAAAACAAAACUGUGUGGCCAGGAUAAUCUGUGGAAAAGUCCUGAGGAUGAAUCAGUGAAUACUGCUGCAAGUUCUGUGGUAUUCUACAACAAGAAAUAAUAAGUACAAUGGCAGGACAAGUGCAAGAGAUCAACUUUUCAGAUAUAAAGUAUGGUAAUAUUCUGCAGCAGAGGGCAACCCUUUAAAAUCCUUUAAAACCCUGGAUCACCAAGGGACCCCCAAACUAGAUAGCAUGGAGCUGAAUGCCACCUCCUGGAAUGAGUCCUCAGGGUAAAAAUGGAGCCACCCAAAACAGUGCUUGCAAUCUCCAACCCACAGAGUUUUAAGUUGGGAGACAAAACUUUGCCAAUGGUAUCAAAUACUGCCAAGAGAUCUAACAGAACCAACGGGGUUGUAUUCUUCCUGUCUCUCCCACUGUAUGUAAUUCAUUUUGGCAACCAAUGACAUUCCAGGUUCAAAUCUGGGCCAGAAUCCAAGUUGAAGUCAAUCCAAUCAGUUUCAUCUACUAGGUCUUUGGGUUGACCAGUAACCACUUGCUCCCAACAAGUUACCCAAAAAAAGGACACCUGUCACUUGCCAUCAGUAGUUAUAAUCCUCUGGGUUCAAUAAGGAUUUCUUCAGGAGUGGUCUGCACAGUGCUUGGUGAGGGGCAGCAUGGGAGCAAUAUAAAGCAACCACCACUUUCUACUUACCAUAUGUGAAACUUAAGACAAUCAUUGUAAAGGGUGGGAAGGAGGGCUGAGGUACCUAAUGAAUUAAAGGGGUAUAUUGCUUGGUAUAAUCCCUUCACCUUUUUUGGGUGAAGUUUGCAUACUUUUUAUUUUUAAGUAUUUUGGGUUUUUUUUCUAGUGAGGAUGGAUAAUCUAAAAACAUGGCAGCUCUCCCUCCUCCUGUUCCCAUUGCUAUGAUGACUCAGACUACAUUACUGAGAUCAGGGUCACCAUGACCUGGUAGGCUUCUGAUGAGCAAGACCCAUCUUGGAAGGUGAGCAAAGUUCCAGUAAGCUAGAGGCCCCAUCUCUCCCAUCUGCAUUGUUGGGAAUGGAGGAGGAGUUAAGAUUUCUUGAAGAGCCAUUUAAAACUUACUGGGCCAGCAGGGCAAUGGUAAAUAUUUAGUUUGUAUCCACAAAUAAAGUCUAUAAAACACCACCAUAACAGAAUAUUUGUUGAUUUUAGGUCGCUGCAUUGUGUUUUUCAGGUCAAUAGUCCAAUUUAUCACUGUCUUCUACAUUUCAUAUACCAACAAUGCAGUCCUACAUAUAUCUACUUUGAAAUAGGUUCCAUUGAGUUCAGUGGAGCUGACUUUCGGGUAACCAAGCACAGGAUUCCAGACAGAGAAUCCCUAUGAGAAAUUAAAUGCUAUCAUCCUUGUUCCACUUAUGAUAAUGGGACAGGGUUUCAAUAGAAUCCAUUUUGAAUUAAUCAAGAGCCCUUUUGAAAAUGUAACCCUGCCAGAUAACAACAAAUCAUAUAAUUUGCUGAUGAUGCGUUGCAGUUAAGUACUACAUUCAGAUUCACACAAAAAACACCUGCAGUUAAGUAGGAAAAUUAAUACAGACACCCCAAGUUUAAUCACUCGCAUAAGAAUGUAAGAGCAGCCUGCUGGAUCAGGCCAAUGGCGCAUGUAGCCCAUCAUGCUGUUAUUAGAGGGGCCAACCAGAAGCUGCAAGCAGGGCCUGAGCACAAGAGCACUCUCCCCUUCUAUGGUUUCCAGCAACUGGUAUUCAGAAGCAUUCUGCCUCUGACCAUGGAGGCAGAGCAUAGCCAUCGUGAUUGGCGGCCUUGUCCUCCAUGAAUUUGUCUAAUCUUUUAAAGCCAUCCAAGUUGGUGGCCAUCACUGCCUCCUGUGGGAGUGUGUGCGUGAAGUACUUCAUUUUCUCUCUCCUGAAUCUUCCAACAUUCAACUUCAGUAGGUGCCCAUGAGUUCUAGCGUUAUGCAAGUGGAAGAAAAACUUUUCUCAAUCCACUUUCCCAAUGGCAUGCAUAGUUUUAUAAACUUCUACCAUGUCCCCUCUUACUCGCCUGAACAGCAGGUUGAGAGGCACACAGGCCACCUAGUCACAGUUUUCUCCAGAGUGGUGAAAUAUAUUUCAUUUCUAUUUCAUUUAUAGUAAUUACUUCUAAAUUUAUAGUAUUCAUUUAUAGUAAUUACUUCUAAAUUACUUCUAAAUUUGCAUCUACUACAUAUAAUUUAUCAUAUGUCAAUGCUGUGCACAUUUGUGCCUUCUUUUUGAUGAGGAAUUUCUUCAUUUGGAGCAAUGCCUAAGUGGUCACCCUAAUUGGUGACUCUCCUGCAUGGCUAAUUUGGGAACAUCAUCUGCAACAGGCCUCCUGGGCUACUUGGGCUAACUUGGAAGGGUCUGUCAGUGUUGCUAGGCUGACACUUGUUUCAGUAGCUGUCAUUGUGCUUCUGACUUAGCUGCUGGUAAGAUCACAACUAAGCUAACCCUGGGGUGGCAGUAGCAGGCGUGACCAUCCUGUUAAUCUCCUUUCAGUCUGCAAUAGCCUUUCAGCAUGACCAGGGACAACACCUAUGCCCAGCUGUGCCUCAUGCAGAUGCUGUAGGUAAGCAUCAUGUUAAAAUGUCUUAACACAGCAGUUACAUCCAAGUCGUUAAGUGCAAACUAGUUCUAAAACAAAACGGCAAAGCUUGAAGCCAACACAAUGCUAUUUUCUGCUUUGUUUUCUCGGAUGCCAAAGCCACGACUUUGUGUCUGCCUUUUUCAAGGCCCGGUGCCUUCCUCUCAUUUUUUCCAAUGAGAGGUAAACAGCUGGGGGCUCUGCCAAUUCAAUUAAGAAUGCUCACACACACAUUAUAUAAUGAGGCAGGAAUUUAGCCCCCUGAAGCCUAGUCCUGCAAUCUAAUCUGCUAUUUAGUGGCCCCCAAAGAUUCCUGAAACCUUUGUGGAGGGCUCCCCGCCUCCCUUUGCACACGCUGGUCUCUCCACACUUUCCCCUCUGUUUUUCUUUCCUCUUUGGCUUCCCUUCUCUGUAUUGUUUUAAGUUGGUGGCUGGGCUGCCUGCCAGAUUAAAUUUCAUCUGCUUCUCCUCCUCCUUCCCCCCCACCCCCAAAUCUUCCCCAGAAGUGAUACUGUUUACUUUCUCUGCUCCUUUUCUGAAUGUCUUUGUACACAUUGCAAGGGAUAUAAUCACCAGCUGUGGAGAGCUUUGUGAAAUGUUAACUUACUCCUCAAUACCCUAGGGCUAGUGAGUGUUUUUACACACACACACACACACACACACAGAGAGAGAGAGAGAGAGAGAGAGAGAGAGAGACGUGUGUGUGUGUGUGUGUGUGUGUGUGUGUGUGUGUUUCAAAUACAAAAUAAAACAACUGCUUCUGAAAGACAUCAACAUAUUUGUUACAUUCCAAUGCGGGGGUGGGGGGUGGGAACCCCCUUCCUUUCUCCUUUCUCCUUCAGGUGGAAUUCGUGUGUGUUCUAUUUACUCCUUCAGUAUAUUCCGUGUGGAAGUGUGAGCUUAUAAGGAGCCCAUUGUUUCCCUCCACAAAUCUUUGAGGAACAAUGGGAGGCAGAAGAAAGAUUAAAGUAGAAAAGUGUCUCUUCCCGUCCUUUUCCUCUUUGGUGGGUGAAAGAGAGGUCAAGCUGUGCCCAUUGACCUUUGCCCUCUGGCCCCUGUGAACCAAAGGCGAGCCUUUUGAAGUAGUAAAGUGCCCACGAAGAAAAGAAAACCAAACAAACUGCCCGGCCUUUUCCCUUCCACCGACCAAACUGAGUUGGCAGAUGCUUGAAAGACGAUGACACGCGGUGUGGUGGGGGGCAGAAGGGAGGCUUCUUGCACUGACCUCCCACCUACCCCAGCUUGCCGUUAAUUGGCACCGUAAAAAGCAAAAAAACCCACCCACACACUGGGAGAGGGGGUGAGGCAGGCCUUUCCUCCUCUUUCCCAGUCCCUACCUCCCGCCACCUAGCACAUCACCGACAGGGGCAGUUCUUUGAACUCUCUGUGCUCUGCUAAAACAGGCACAAAUGGGAAUGGUAUAUGGAGGGUUAAGAGGAAAAGCUUUGUAUGGGAAGAGAUCAGCUAGAUCACCAAAAGCUUUUCCUGUUGUCAAACAGAUAGGACUUGUCAGUUGUGUUACCUGAAUUGAUGCCGUCACAUGCAUGACCCCUGCUGGUAAUAUGCUGGAAGGUACCUUUGUACACUUUAGAGAUUCUUCCUGCCUCUUCCUCCCUUCAUUUGACCCUUAAAUUAUAACAAGGGAAAUGGUUUGUUUUCCAAAGCUAGGGAAAAGUGGAAUUUGAAGGCAAAACCCAUCGCAAUGGUUUGUCUCUUCCCUGGAGCCCAAACCCAGGGCGAAUCCAGUUGUCAGUUUUAGGAUGUGGUUGCAACUUACGGUAAUUUAAUCAGGACCAAUCUUACAGAUGUUUCUGUUGUGCUCUGCAGGUUUCCCAAACAUCUCACUGUGCAUCUGAAUGAAGAGGGAGGGCAAAUGGGGCAAGGACGAUGAGAAGCAGUUUGCUCAAGCCAGCUUGUAGGAUAUCAGGACAGUUAAACAGGAACUAAAU